rnacentral:sRNA from 1 species
AUGCUAACAAUCAAGAUGUGAUCAGAAGUCACUAAGUCAAGCCAAGCAAUAACAGGUUUUGGUGUGUUCUAGCAGUCCUAAGUGAACAUGCAGAAAACAGAAAAUCAAACAGAAACAGUGAAACACUCGACCAACACAGCUCUUUGCAGAGCACUGGGUGAGGUCGAGUGACAGAUCGAGUAACAGACAGAAAAUAAAACACGGAUACUCGACUGCACAGUCUGUUGCCAGACAACUGGGUAGUCGAGUAUGAGGUCGAGUAACAAGAAAGAACUGCAGAAAUUAAGCGAUAGAUAACAAGAUGCAGUAAACAACAAUAGAGUAAACAAAUAAUUCAAUCAGAUAAAGAAUUCCCGAGGAUGGGGUAAUCGAGUAGUUUCGUUUUCUCAGUUUACAGGUGAUUGACAUGCUCAAUAAAUUAACUU